rnacentral:misc_RNA from 1 species
AAUCGACAAGCGCGGCAAAGGCGGAAGCAAGCUUGUGUGUGACGGCCACCGUCUGCAAAAGUUGACAGUCGUCAGAAAAUUGACAGAAAAAGAAGACGGAAAAGUGCUAGUGUGACGCCGCCUUUAUCUCGCCUCUGCCACUCAUCCUGGGACUUCACUCAACAACGCACUCCGAAUCACCUCUAUGGGCCUUUACCGUAGCGACUGAUCUCCACAGCCUUGGGUCAGGAAACAGUCCCGCAUCCUAGAUGUAGCACUCACCCGCCUCCGUCUGGGCCACACAAGACUCACAGCACACCUGCAUCGCCUUGGUCUAUCACCGGACCCCUACUGCCCCUGGUGCAGGACGGUCGAGGAAACCAUCGAACACUUCCACUUACACUGCCCCCGCUUCCACUCCCACCGUGUUGUGCUUCGUGAUCACCUUGCUGCCUUGGGUGUGUCUACCUUUGACCUGCCCACCCUGCUGGCGGCAGCAGGCGUCUACUCCUCACACCAAGCUGCGGUUAUCCGCCUCACCUGCGUCUUCCUGAAGAAGUGUGGACAACUACCCCGCCUGUGAUCACCUCACAGGCCGCCACCAGGGCUCAUAGGAUCUGUGGGAUCGUCGAAGCCCGAAAACAACAACAACAACAGCACACCUGCAUCUCCUUGGUCUAUCACCGGACCCCUACUGCCCCUGGUGCAGGACGGUUGAGGAAACCAUCGAACACUUCCUCUUACACUGGCCCCGCUUCCACUCCCACCGUGUUGUGCUCUGUGAUCACCUUGCUGCCUUGGGUGUGUCUACCUUUGACCUGCCCACCCUGCUGGUGGCGGCUGGGAUCGUCGAAGCCCGAAAACAACAACUAACUAAAAGCAAGCUGCUACGCCUGUGAUAGCAUCACAGGACUACUCCAGGCUUAUAAGAACCACAAAGAUCUUCAUAGCACUAAUAACAAACAUCAGGAUCAAUUGCAGCUCCCUAUUAUAUUUUGGAGGGAAGAUUGAAGAAUGAUUUCUCUAACUCAGCACCUGAAAAGCUGGAGGUGUUUGGCUUCACUUUCCCAGCAUUACUGCCACCAUAGACUGCUCACCUCUUCAGUAGCCAAAUCAGAAUCUCAAAACAUUACUGACCAAGAGAACUCAUUUGGUCGUAUUGCAGUAGGAAGACAAAAAAAAAGAUUAGAGAAAGAGAAAAAUGGUCCCUCUAGAAAAUUUCCCAAACAUGUUAGAGGCUUUUUUAAACUAAUCCAUUCUGACUCAUCUGGAAAAGACAUCAAACAUAAUAAAGGCUUUCUUGAAUCAGCUCAUUCUCACUUCUCAAGGAAUUUAUCAGGAAUCUCCCAAGACAGUAUUGUUGAGAAUUGGCAUCAGUUUAGGAAUAACAAAUAUCAAGAUACAUUAGUCAGUUGGGAAAGUGAUCAACAAGAUGAUGCUGAGGAGGACUAUAACUGCUUUGUUUCUGGUAAUGCCUCUAUUCUGGAAGAUGAGGGUUGGAAAGACUCAUCUCAGAAGACUGUGGAAUCUUUAAAGAAAAAUGUAAUUGAUAUCAACAAUAAAAAAGAAAAAUUACACAAGCUUGUGAAAAAAAAGAGAAACUUUGGAAGCUUAAGUCCCCUAUAUGAGGAACCAGAGGGUGAUGAUAGGGACCGAAGGGAGGAGAGAUAUCAAAGUGCUAAGUUGGAGAGGCAGCAUCGACCCAACUUUUAUGGAUUCAAGAUGAAGAAACUCUGCAAGGAAAGAAAGUUGGGUGAGGCUAUCAGUGUUUUGGAGGAAGAAAUGCCAGCUGCUGGAUCCAAGCCAAAUCACUACUGUUUCCAGGUUUUGAUUAAUGCCUGUGGCCGUGCUGGCUAUACCAAGAAAGCCUUUCAACUCUACAAUCAGAUGAAGAAGCAUGGCCUCAAGGUGGAACCUGUUGCAUAUACUGGGCUGUUCCUUGCGUGUGCCCACUCACCUUGGCCUACCACUGAUGGUCUUCAGCGAGCUACACACUUACGUUCGUAUCUCCUGGAGAAGAACUUCCAGUUCAAUCAGAUUAUCUGUCAUGCUAUGAUCAAAGCAUUUGGUUGGUGUGGAGACAUGGGCACAGCGUUCCAAGUGGUAGAUGAAAUGAUUCAAGAUGGAAUAAUGGUGACAACUGAGACAAUGAGUUUCCUCCUGCAGGCAUGUAUUACCAACAAGGAAGCUGGCUUUUGGCAUGCUAUGAAGGUGUGGAGAAAAAUGAGGGAGUUGAAGCUGCAGCCAAAUAUACAUUCUUAUAAUCAUCUAAUGCAUAUCAUGAAGGACUGUGGUGCUGGGGAUCCCAAAUUUAUUAUUGAUUUGCUGAAGGAAAAUGACCAGCUCAGCUUAGAAGACAAAACAAACCCAUCCAAAAAGUAUAAAGUCAUCCCUGAAACACUGAAUUUGAAUGUUAAAUCAUUAAAUUCUGAAAAGAAUCUCAGAAAAAUUCAAGAGGACAGUGUUGUGCAUCAUCUAGAAAUUAAUGAUAGUAAAGAAAAUAUGAAUGAGAAUCUAAGCAAGAGUGUAUUGCCCAAUAUUCUUGGCAAAAGGCUGACUAGUAGGGAUGCUGUAGCUCUUGGUACUCUGGAUCAUCCAUCAGACAGGCUGGCAUUUCUUGGUGGCCCAAGUAAUAUUCUAAUGCAGAUGAAGAGAGACAAAAUCACACCAGACCUCAAGACCUUCACCCAGAUGUUGGAAUCACUGCCUCCUGAUACACAAGCUGAACAAGCACUUAUAGAAUCAAUGAAGAAUUUUAAGCUACAGCCUGACACUCAGUUCUUCAAUAUGCUUAUCAAGAAACGAAAUUUUAGGCAGGACAUAAAAGCAGCUCGGACCCAAUAUAGAAAUAAUGACUAUUUUGGUCAAGAACAGUUUAGUAAAACAAGAUUAUACUUUUACUGUGGCCAUGUUGAGGAAGAUGCAAGAAAAGGCUGUAUCCCCUCAUGACCUUCUGCUCUCUGAGCUUGAACGAGCCAGAAUAAGGGCACGGAAGAUUCUUAUGGAUGAGGUACAAGUAGUGAUUGGAAAAAUCGGAAAGGAGAGCAGAGGAAAGAGAAAAACUAAUGAAAACAGCACUAAGACACAAGAAAAAGAGAAGAAAGCUGCAAAAGUGUUUUUAUCAGCCUACAAGAUCUGGCUUAAGGAUACAGAAGUUCAGCUCCCUGAACAUCCAUGGACACAAUAUCAGUAAUGCAAUUACUUUGAUAUGUACAUAAAUAUUUCAGUCCAGUGUUGUAUAGAACUAAGUAAAUUUUUAAAAAUUAA